rnacentral:rRNA from 1 species
AGUCGAGGGGUAGAGGAAGCUUGCUUCCUUGAGACCGGCGCACGGGUGCGUAACGCGUAUGCAAUCUACCUUUUACAGGGGAAUAGCCCAGAGAAAUUUGGAUUAAUGCCCCAUAGUGUAAUUGAAUGGCAUCAUUUGAUUACUAAAGUUCCAACGGUAAAAGAUGAGCAUGCGUCCUAUUAGCUAGUUGGUGUGGUAACGGCACACCAAGGCAACGAUAGGUAGGGGUCCCGAGAGGGAGAUCCCCCACACUGGUACUGAGACACGGACCAGACUCCUACGGGAGGCAGCAGUGAGGAAUAUUGGACAAUGGGCGCAAGCCUGAUCCAGCCAUGCCGCGUGCAGGAAGAAGCAUCUAUGGUGUGUAAACUGCUUUUGUACGGGAAGAAACACUCCUACGUGUAGGAGCUCGACGGUACCGUAAGAAUAAGGAUCGGCUAACUCCGUGCCAGCAGCCGCGGUAAUACGGAGGAUCCAAGCGUUAUCCGGAAUCAUUGGGUUUAAAGGGUCCGUAGGCGGUUUAAUAAGUCAGUGGUGAAAUCUGGUCGCUCAACGAUCAAACGGCCAUUGAUACUGUUAGACUUGAAUUACUAGGAAGUAACUAGAAUAUGUAGUGUAGCGGUGAAAUGCUUAGAUAUUACAUGGAAUACCAAUUGCGAAGGCAGGUUACUACUAGU